CCUCGCUCACUACCAUGUCUUGAGUAACACAUGCACUAGACGCCGACACCCAUGGUGAUGGUUGCACCACCAUACGCUGGAAUGAGGCCAUGAUCCUCAGUACAAGGUUGAAUAUGUGCUCAAAGGAUAUGGAACUUGUAUUGAACCACAGUUGGGACAAGCCUUCUGAGAAGAACAAAAACAACAAAGGAGAAGCAGGAAACAGAAACAGCUAACAAUGAAAUUAGGAGGGGUUGCAAUAUGUUGAUCAGCUGUGAUCAUCUUUUUUGAGCGUGGAGAUGAAUUGAAGAGCUGGAAUCAGAGAAGUUGUGGUACAAGGAGGAAGGUAGGAUUGAGGCUAAAUAAAUAGAAGGCAAAGAAAACAAACAGAAUAAAGUGGUUGAAACGACAAUUUGGAGAGAGGCUGCAAGAGAAGAAUCUAUGUGCAAACACAUCAACUUUACAAAUUUAUUGGACUGUUUGAUUCCUCCUAUGAUGUGUUGCGUAGUAGGUUUGGAAUUUUCUAGCCUUUUAUGCUUCUAUAUAAUGGAAGCUUUCGCUAGAAAAAGGUUCCAUAUUAUAGUCUUGUUGCCCUUCACAUUUUUUU